AUUCUCUUCAACCUUCCCUUCUGCUGUAUUCCUGCCCAGGUCUCACCUUGGUUCAAUGGGGCCCAACUUGGCACCUCUGGCCCCCUGAGCCCGAGGUUCCCAUCACCCUCCACACUGCUACUAGUAGAAGAGCUGUGGCAACAAAAGGAAACAUGAUGAUUGAGAAUAGACCUAAAGAGCUCCCUUAACCUGAAAAAAGUAAGAAGAUAAUAAAUAAGGAGAGGCUGAAGAAUCUCUUCAGAGUUUCAAGAAUACCAUAAAAGAUCCACAUCUCCUCUUUCCUACUUCCUCUGACUCCCAGUGAGAAAACAAGCUCAACAAAAUCCAUUACGAAAACGGAGAGUCAUAUAAAGCAAAUUAAUGCAUUGGAUAUGUUGAAAAAAAUAUGCCCUAAUCUGCCCUCUGAGUCCAUUCUUUCUCUAUCUGGAGGUGGGCAACAUGUUUCAUCAUGAGUCAUCUGGAAUUGGGUCAGCUCUGGUGGCACAGUGGAUAGUGCCAGGCCUGAAGUCAAAAGGACCUCACAUCUUCCUAGCUGGGUGACCCUAGGCAAGUAAUUUAACACCCUUUGCUUAGCCCUUUCCCCUUGUGCCUUGGAGUUAUUACUAACACAGAAAGUAAAAGUUUUAUGAAAAAUGAAUCCUCUAGAAUUAUAGUGAGUUUUCUUAAACAACAUUCCUGAUCAGAGUUCCUAAAUUUUUCCAAGUUGCUUGUCUUUACAAUAUUGCUCACAUUAUUCUCUUGGUGCCCCUCAUUUCACUUUGUAUUCAUUCAUACAAGUCUUCCUAGGUUUCUCUGAAACCAUCCCCUUCAUCAUUUCUUACAGAACAAUGUUAUUAUUUCACCACAUUCAACUGACAGGCAUCCCCUCGGCUUCUGAUUUUGUCACUACAAAAAAGAGCUGCUAUGAACCAAUGUAACCAAAAUUAGAAGAGAAGUAACAAAGUGGGAAACAAUCUUCAUAACAAAAACCUCUGACAAAGGUCUAAUUACUCAAAUUUAUAAAAAGAUAAAUCAAUUCUACAAAAAAAUCAAGCCAUUCUCCAAUUGAUAAAUGGGCAAGGGACAUGAAUACGCAAUUCUCAGUUAAAGAAAUCAAAAUUAUUAAUAAGCACAUGAAAAAGUGUUCUACAUCUCUUAUAAUCAGAGAGAUGCAAAUCAAAACUCUGAGGUACCACCUCACACCUAGUAGAUUGGAUAAUAUGACAGCAACAGAAAGCAAUGAAUGCUGGAGGAGAUGUGGCAAAGUUCAGACAUUAAUUCAUUGCUGGUGGAGUUGUGAAUUGAUCCAACCAUUCUGGAGGGCAAUUUGGAACUAUGCCCAAAGCGCACUAAAAGACUAUCUGCCCUUUGAUCCAGCCAUAGCACUGCUGGGUUUGUACCCCAAAGAGAUAAAAAGGGAAAAGACGUGUACAAGAAUAUUCAUAGCUGCGCUCUUUGUGGUGGCCAAAAAUUGGAAAAUGAGGGGAUGCCCUUCAAUUGGGGAAUGGCUGAACAAAUUGUGGUAUCUGUUGGUGAUGGAAUACUAUUGUGCUCAAAGGAAUAAUAAAGUGGAGGAAUUCCAUGUGAACUGGAAUGACCUCCAGGAAGUGAUGCAGAGUGAGAGGAGCAGAACCAAGAGAAUAUUGUACACAGAGACUGAUACAGUGUGGUACAAUCAAAUGUAAUGGAUUUCUCCAUUAGUGGCAAUGCAGUGAUCCUGAACAACUCAGAAGGAACUAUGAGAAAAAAACACUAUCCACAUUCAGAGGAAACACUGUGGGAGUAGAAACACAGAAGAAAAACAACUGCUUGAUUACAUGGGCCAAGGGGGAUAUGGCUGGGGAUGUAGACUCUAAAUGAACAUCCUAGUGCAAACAUCAAUAGCAUGGAAAUAGGUUCUGAUCAAGGACACAUGCAAUACCCAGUGGAAUUGCAUGCAGUUAU